rnacentral:rRNA from 1 species
AUGGAGCUGGUAUGCUGGAACGUUAGGGGACUCAAUAGCACUGCGAAACGGAAUUCUCUUAGGGAGUUUGUAGCUACGAUCCAUCCUGCCAUCAUGUGUAUCUUAGAGACUAAGUUGGAGGUGGUCGAUCAGUUUGUAAUAAUGCAAUGCCUUGGGCCGGCGUAUGAUGGUUUCUUUUAUCUUCCUGCUGCUAACACACGUGGAGGUAUUUUCGUGGCGUGGGACUCCACCAAGGUGCAAUUGACAAAUUUUGUCAAUGACAAAAACUUUAUCACGGGUUAUGUCACCCCGGUCGAAGGGCCGGCGUGGUGGCUGACGGUGGUGUAUGGGCCUCAGGAGGACGCCGAGAAGAUCAUCUUCUUAGAGGAGCUCACUGCUAGACGACAUCUUUGUCCAGGGCCCUGGAUCGUCAUUGGUGACUUCAACAUGAUCCUCUACGCCCAGGACAAGAGCAAUGCUCGCCUUGAUCACAGGAUGAUGGGCAGGUUCAAACGUUUUGUGGAUGACAAUGCAAUCAAGGAGCUUUUUUACAUGGCCGCAGAUUCACCUGGUGUAGUGAGCAUGAGGUGCCUACUCUUACCAAAAUUGACAGAGCAUUUGUGUCAAUUGAUUGGGAAUUGGAUCACCCGGAAUGUCUAA